rnacentral:rRNA from 1 species
GUCUACGGCCAUGCUACCCUGAACACACCCGAUACUGUCUGAUCUCUGAAGCUAAGCCGGGUCAGCCUGGAUAGUACUUGGAUGGGAGACCACCUGAGACGAUCAGGUGCUGUAGGCG